AUUGAACGCUGGCGGCAUGCUUUACACAUGCAAGUCGAACGGUAACAGGCCGCAAGGUGCUGACGAGUGGCGAACGGGUGCGUAAUGCAUCGGAACGUGCCCAGUCGUGGGGGAUAACUACUCGCAAGAGUAGCUAAUACCGCAUACGAUCUAUGGAUGAAAGCGGGGGACCGUAAGGCCUCGCGCGAUUGGAGCGGCCGAUGUCAGAUUAGGUAGUUGGUGGGGUAAAGUCCCACCAAGCCAACGAUCUGUAGCUGGUCUGAGAGGACGACCCGCCACACUGGAACUGGGACACGGCCCAGACUCCUACGGGAGGCAGCGGUGGGGAAUUUUGGACAAUGGGCGCAAGCCUGAUCCAGCAAUGCCGCGUGCAGGAAGAAGGCCUUCGGGUUGUAAACUGCUUUUGUACGGAACGAAACGGCUCUGGUUAAUACCCGGGGCUAAUGACGGUACCGUAAGAAUAAGCACCGGCUAACUACGUG
rnacentral:rRNA from 1 species